rnacentral:rRNA from 1 species
GACGAACCGAGCGAACGUUGUUCGGAAUCACUGGGCUUAAAGGGCGCGUAGGCGGCCCCGCCAGUCUCGGGUGAAAUCUUCCGGCCCAACCGGAAAAGUGCCCGGGAUACUGCGGGGCUCGAGCGAGGCAGGGGCGGGGGGAACUUCCGGUGGAGCGGUGAAAUGCGUUGAUAUCGGAAGGAACGCCGGUGGCGAAAGCGCCCCGCUGGGCCUCUCCUGGCGCUGAGGCGCGAAAGCCAGGGGAGCGAACGGG